CGAGCGCACCCUCAUCCUUAGUUGCCAGCAGUUCGGCUGGGCACUCUAGGGAAACUGCCCGUGAUAAGCGGGAGGAAGGUGUGGAUGACGUCAAGUCCUCAUGGCCCUUACGGGUUGGGCUACACACGUGCUACAAUGGCAUCUACAGUGGGUUAAUCCCCAAAAGAUGUCUCAGUUCGGAUUGUCGUCUGCAACUCGACGGCAUGAAGUCGGAAUCUCUAGUAAUCGCGUAACAACAUGACGCGGUGAAUACAUUCCCGGGCCUU
rnacentral:rRNA from 1 species